rnacentral:rRNA from 1 species
CAGGGUUUCCCGUAGGUGAACCUGCGGAAGGAUCAUKG